CGUAGGUGGCAAGCGUUGUCCGGAUUUAUUGGGUUUAAAGGGUGCGUAGGCGGCCUUAUAAGUCAGUGCUGAAAUAUCCCGGCUUAACCGGGAGGGUGGCAUUGAUACUGUAGGGCUUGAGUGUAGUCGAGGUAGGCGGAAUUGACGGUGUAGCGGUGAAAUGCUUAGAUAUCGUCAAGAACACCGAUAGUGUAGACAGCUUACUAGGCUACAACUGACGCUGAGGCACGAAAGUGUGGGGAUCAAACAGGAUUAGAUACCCUGGUAGUCCACACUGUAAACGUUGAUUACUCGAUGUCGGCGAUACACAGUCAGCGUCUUAGCGCAAGCGAUAAGUAAUCCACCUGGGGAGUACGCCGGCAACGGUG
rnacentral:rRNA from 1 species